rnacentral:rRNA from 1 species
AUUGAACGCUGGCGGCAUGCUUUACACAUGCAAGUCGAACGGUAACAGGCCUUCGGGUGCUGACGAGUGGCGAACGGGUGAGUAAUGCAUCGGAACGUACCCAGAGGUGGGGGAUAACGCAGCGAAAGCUGUGCUAAUACCGCAUGUGAUCUGAGGAUGAAAGCGGGGGACUGAGCAGCAAUGUUUGGCCUCGCGCCUUUGGAGCGGCCGAUUUCGGAUUAGCUAGUUGGUGGGGUAAAGGCCCACCAAGGCGACGAUCCGUAGCUGGUCUGAGAGGCGGACCAGCCACACUGGGACUGAGACACGGCACAGACUCCUACGGGAGGCAGCAGUGGGGAAUUUUGGACAAUGGGCGCAAGCCUGAUCCAGCAAUGCCGCGUGCGGGAAGAAGGCCUUCGGGUUGUAAACCGCUUUUGGCAGGAACGAAACGGUGUCCGCUAAUACCGGGCGCUAAUGACGGUACCUGCAGAAUAAGCACCGGCUAACUACGUG